ensembl:lncRNA
UAUGGCAUUACAUUUAAAAUUAACAUUUAAAAACGAUUGAAAUUCCAUUGAAAUCACGUUGAUCCUUAGUUCAGUUGAAAUUUCAACAUUGUUUCAAUAUUCCUGAUAAUUGAAAUACCAUUGAAAUUCCAUUGAUUUAUGGACAGAAUUUCAACAUUGUUUCAAUAUUAAAUCAGGGUGCAAAAUGAUGUUGAAUCAACAUCAGAGUUCGAUGUUGAUUCAAUGACUUAAUGUUGACAACGGAAUGUUGAUUCAGCAUAGUUUCAAUGACUGUUUGCUAUCUGGGAAUGCAGUACCAAAACAACCAAUCAAAUAAGAGAAAGAAUGUCACUGCAGGUGUCAAACGACCAAUCAAAUAAGAGAACGAAUGUCACUGCAGGUAUCAAACGACCAAUCAAAUUAAUACAAAAUAACCGCUCCGUUUUCAUUCAGACUCCUCAGAGUUUCUAAAAGUCAUUUUGAACACAAAAUAGACAACAAAUGAAAUCAAAGUAAAUAUUCUGUUUAAAGUAAAAUAUGUGAUUAUACUUGCCGUAAUCUACGAAACGGUACGAAUAAGAUAUUACUUUCCCCCGUUCACCGUUUAACACGGCCCUUGCUUACACGAGGAGGACAGACGAAACCGCGGAACGGAUUACUUCAGGAAUCUCCUCACAAAGACGUUUAUUCGAGUAUUGUGCUUUCCCUCCGACUGAGGGACAUUACAGGAGUAGCGGCUGCCAGGAAAAAUAAAGAAGCUGGCUGGAUUAGGAAUGUUGGAAAAUGAAUCGGCUGCCAGCGAACAAAGAGAUGUAGUCAGGAAUUUGCAUCAGCACCUAAACCGCCUCAGACUCCAGUAGGGCCUUGAAUGGUUCACAAUUGUAUUGAAACCUACUGCACUUUCUUGCUGUGUAGGAAAACCUGAAUUAAUGUGAAAGUCAAGAGUAUUUACUUUGACAUACAAGAAAAAAAAAAGAAGAGGCUUUUGUGUUCCUGGGAAUUCAAGUGACAAAUGGUUGUUUUCAGAAAUUUUUAGUGGACAGAAAACUCCUGGGUUGUGAAGCUUCAAGGAAUAGUCCAACCAAAACUAAAUAUCAUUUACUCACCCUCACGCCAUUCCAAGCCUGUAUGACUUUGUUUCUUGUGUGUGUGUCACAAUAAAGAAGAAUUUUUGUAACCGAAUAACACUUUUGGUUGAAUUACAUUGACUUCUAUUGUAUUUUUUUGUUCAUAAUAUGGAAGUCUAUGCAAACCAAAACUUUGGGGUGUAUAAGGGUUAGGGUUGGAAGGGGGCAGAACAUUUCUGGAAAUUUUCAAGGAUUUUUGUAAACUUUCCAGGAUUUUUUGGAAAUUUUCAGGAAGUUUCCAGAAAUUUACCAGAAGCUUUCUGGCUCUUUACAACCCUAGUAAGGGUGAGUAAAUAAUGA